UGGGGAAUAUUGGACAAUGGGCGAAAGCCUGAUCCAGCCAUGCCGCGUGUGUGAAGAAGGUCUUCGGAUUGUAAAGCACUUUAAGUUGGGAGGAAGGGCAGUAAGCGAAUACCUUGCUGUUUUGACGUUACCGACAGAAUAAGCACCGGCUAACUCUGUGCCAGCAGCCGCGGUAAUACAGAGGGUGCGAGCGUUAAUCGGAUUUACUGGGCGUAAAGCGUGCGUAGGCGGCUAAUUGAGUCGGAUGUGAAAUCCCCGAGCUUAACUUGGGACUUGCAUUCGAUACUGGUUAGCUAGAGUGUGGGAGAGGAUGGUAGGAUGCCAGGUGUAGCGGUGAGAUGCGUAGAGAUCUGGAGGAAUACCGAUGGCUAAGGCAGCCAUCUGGCCUAACACUCACGCUGAAGUACGAAAACAUGGGGAGCAAACAGG
rnacentral:rRNA from 1 species